GCUAGGCAUGGUGGCACAUGCCUGUAAUCCCAGUGCCUUAGGAGGCUGAGGCAGGAGGAUCGUGAACUCAAAACCAGCCUCAGCAAAAGCUAGGUGCUAAGCACCUCAGUGAGACCCUGUCUCUA
rnacentral:sRNA from 1 species